CUGAUCUCAAAUCAGGUAGGACUACCCGCUGAACUUAAGCAUAUCAAUAAGCGGAGGAAAAGAAACUAACAAGGAUUCCCCUAGUAACUGCGAGUGAAGCGGGAAAAGCUCAAAUUUAAAAUCUGGCAGUCUUUGAUUGUCCGAGUUGUAUUCUAGAGAAGUGUUUUCCGCGUUGGACCGUGUACAAGUCUCUUGGAACAGAGCGUCAUAGAGGGUGAGAAUCCCGUCUUUGACACGGACUACCAAUGCUUUGUGAUGCGCUCUCAAAGAGUCGAGUUGUUUGGGAAUGCAGCUCAAAAUGGGUGGUAAAUUCCAUCUAAAGCUAAAUAUUGGCGAGAGACCGAUAGCGAACAAGUACCGUGAGGGAAAGAUGAAAAGCACUUUGGAAAGAGAGUUAAACAGUACGUGAAAUUGUUGAAAGGGAAACGCUUGAAGUCAGUCGCGUUAGUCAGAACUCAGCCUUGCUUUUGCUUGGUGCACUUUCUGAUUGACGGGCCAGCAUCAGUUUUGACUGCAGGARAAAGGUUAGAGGAAUGUGGCAUCUUCGGAUGUGUUAUAGCCUCUGAUUGUAUACUGUGAUUGGGACUGAGGAACUCAGCACGCGCAAGCUGUGCUUAGGAUGCUGGCGUAAUGGCUUUAAACGACCCGUCUUGAAACACGGACCAAGGAGUCUAACAUGCCUGCGAGUAUUUGGGUGGUAAACCCGAGUGCGUAAUGAAAGUGAAAGUUGGGAUCUCUGUCGUGGAGAGCACCGACGCCCGGACCAGACCUUCUGUGACGGAUCUGCGGUAGAGCAUGUAUGUUGGGACCCGAAAGAUGGUGAACUAUGCCUGAAUAGGGUGAAGCCAGAGGAAACUCUGGUGGAGGCUCGUAGCGAUUCUGACGUGCAAAUCGAUCGUCAAAUUUGGGUAUAGGGGCGAAAGACUAAUCGAACCAUCUAGUAGCUGGUUCCUGC
rnacentral:rRNA from 1 species